rnacentral:rRNA from 1 species
UACGUAGGGUGCGAGCGUUAAUCGGAAUUACUGGGCGUAAAGCGUGCGCAGGCGGUUUUGUAAGCCAGGUGUGAAAUCCCCGGGCUCAACCUGGGAAUGGCAUUUGGGACUGCAAGGCUGGGAGUGCGGCAGAGGAGACUGGAAUUCCUGGUGUAGCAGUGAAAUGCGUAGAUAUCAGGAGGAAUACCGAUGGCGAAGGCAGGUCUCUGGGCUGACACUGACGCUCAUACACGAAAGCGUGGGG